GACGGAGGGUGCAAGCGUUGUUCGGAAUUACUGGGCGUAAAGCGUACGUAGGCGGCGGAUUAAGUCGAAUGUUAAAGCCUGAGGCUCAACCUCAGAGAUGCACUCGAUACUGGUCUGCUAGAGGGUGAUAGAGGAAGGCGGAAUUCCCAGUGUAGCGGUGAAAUGCGUAGAUAUUGGGAGGAACAUCAGUAGCGAAGGCGGCUUUCUGGGUCACACCUGACGCUGAGGUACGAAAGCGUGGGGAGCAAACGGG
rnacentral:rRNA from 1 species